CGCCCCUCGGUGCUCCGCUUGCCUGCAGCCCGCGCGCAAGCGCAGCCAGCUUCCCGCCGACCGGCCGCCGAGGCGGGAGCGUGCAGGAAGUUAUGGAAGAAUCCAAUGAAGUCUCACCUCGCAGCUAGACUGUCUUGAUUCCUGUCUUAGUUUGUGUUCGUGUCCUAAGACAGGACCUUGUGUCCAGGCAAUUUAUCUGGAAGAUCACUCCAAUGAGCACAAGUGAUGAAGGGAGGAAAAUGAGUCAGAGAAAGAAGAAAAGACA